rnacentral:rRNA from 1 species
GGAGCGUUGCUGCUGUGGAUCAGUGGCGAACGGGUGAGUAACACGUGAGCAAUCUGCCCCUGACUCUGGGAUAAGCGCUGGAAACGGCGUCUAAUACCGGAUACGAGCUGCGAAGGCAUCUUCAGCAGUUGGAAAGAAUUUCGGUCAGGGAUGAGCUCGCGGCCUAUCAGCUUGUUGGUGAGGUAAUGGCUCACCAAGGCGUCGACGGGUAGCCGGCCUGAGAGGGUGACCGGCCACACUGGGACUGAGACACGGCCCAGACUCCUACGGGAGGCAGCAGUGGGGAAUAUUGCACAAUGGGCGGAAGCCUGAUGCAGCAACGCCGCGUGAGGGAUGACGGCCUUCGGGUUGUAAACCUCUUUUAGCAGGGAAGAAGCGAAAGUGACGGUACCUGCAGAAAAAGCGCCGGCUAACUACGUGCCAGCAGCCGCGGUAAUACGUAGGGCGCAAGCGUUAUCCGGAAUUAUUGGGCGUAAAGAGCUCGUAGGCGGUCUGUCGCGUCUGCUGUGAAAUCCCGAGGCUCAACCUCGGGUCUGCAGUGGGUACGGGCAGACUAGAGUGCGGUAGGGGAGAUUGGAAUUCCUGGUGUAGCGGUGGAAUGCGCAGAUAUCAGGAGGAACACCGAUGGCGAAGGCAGAUCUCUGGGCCGUAACUGACGCUGAGGAGCGAAAGGGUGGGGAGCAAACAGGCUUAGAUACCCUGGUAGUCCACCCCGUAAAC